GAAAUCACCGGCUUAGCCGGUAUAAAAUUCUAUCCACCUUGUGUGCAAACAAUGGAAAAGAGAGAAAAUUGGGUACUCUGUAUCCAACUUCUCUAAAAUUUUUUAUAAACUCCAUCAAAUUUUGAAUGAAAACAAUUUUUUUAAUAAAAAAAUAUUAUA
rnacentral:misc_RNA from 1 species